GCUCUCGGGUGACGAGCGGCGGACGGGUGAGUAAUGUCUGGGAAACUGCCUGAUGGAGGGGGAUAACUACUGGAAACGGUAGCUAAUACCGCAUAACGUCGCAAGACCAAAGUGGGGGACCUUCGGGCCUCAUGCCAUCAGAUGUGCCCAGAUGGGAUUAGCUGGUAGGUGGGGUAACGGCUCACCUAGGCGACGAUCCCUAGCUGGUCUGAGAGGAUGACCAGCCACACUGGAACUGAGACACGGUCCAGACUCCUACGGGAGGCAGCAGUGGGGAAUAUUGCACAAUGGGCGCAAGCCUGAUGCAGCCAUGCCGCGUGUGUGAAGAAGGCCUUCGGGUUGUAAAGCACUUUCAGCGGGGAGGAAGGCGGUGAGGUUAAUAACCUCAUCGAUUGACGUUACCCGCAGAAGAAGCACCGGCUAACUCCGUGCCAGCAGCCGCGGUAAUACGGAGGGUGCAAGCGUUAAUCGGAAUUACUGGGCGUAAAGCGCACGCAGGCGGUCUGUCAAGUCGGAUGUGAAAUCCCCGGGCUCAACCUGGGAACUGCAUUCGAAACUGGCAGGCUAGAGUCUUGUAGAGGGGGGUAGAAUUCCAGGUGUAGCGGUGAAAUGCGUAGAGAUCUGGAGGAAUACCGGUGGCGAAGGCGGCCCCCUGGACAAAGACUGACGCUCAGGUGCGAAAGCGUGGGGAGCAAACAGGAUUAGAUACCCUGGUAGUCCACGCUGUAAACGAUGUCGAUUUGGAGGUUGUGCCCUUGAGGCGUGGCUUCCGGAGCUAACGCGUUAAAUCGACCGCCUGGGGAGUACGGCCGCAAGGUUAAAACUCAAAUGAAUUGACGGGGGCCCGCACAAGCGGUGGAGCAUGUGGUUUAAUUCGAUGCAACGCGAAGAACCUUACCUGGUCUUGACAUCCACAGAACUUUCCAGAGAUGGAUUGGUGCCUUCGGGAACUGUGAGACAGGUGCUGCAUGGCUGUCGUCAGCUCGUGUUGUGAAAUGUUGGGUUAAGUCCCGCAACGAGCGCAACCCUUAUCCUUUGUUGCCAGCGGUUAGGCCGGGAACUCAAAGGAGACUGCCAGUGAUAAACUGGAGGAAGGUGGGGAUGACGUCAAGUCAUCAUGGCCCUUACGACCAGGGCUACACACGUGCUACAAUGGCAUAUACAAAGAGAAGCGACCUCGCGAGAGCAAGCGGACCUCAUAAAGUAUGUCGUAGUCCGGAUUGGAGUCUGCAACUCGACUCCAUGAAGUCGGAAUCGCUAGUAAUCGUAGAUCAGAAUGCUACGGUGAAUACGUUCCCGGGCCUUGUACACACCGCCCGUCACACCAUGGGAGUGGGUUGCAAAAGAAGUAGGUAGCUUAACCUUCGGGAGGGCGCUUACCACUUUGUGAUUCAUGACUGGGGUGAAGUCGUAA
rnacentral:rRNA from 1 species